CUUUCCCGACCUAUUUUGUCAUUUUAUAAAACAAAGGAUAUUCACCUCCUCUUUUCACGCCCUGUCAGAUUUUUUUUAUUAAUUUUCUUUCAGAUAAUAGGGUAAAGCGACAUAGACUCGGGUUUUACCUGAAAUUGAUCGUCCUUUCCUUUUCCAAUUGGAUUCAUGCGAUUUUGAAACUUUGUUGAGAUUCACAAUUUCGAUCUUCACAGCUGCAUACAACGAAGCUUUUUUACCUGAACUGCAACUAUGGAUGACCUAUGAGGUUAUAGCAAGUUGGUUUUUCUUUCAUGAAGACAUGGAGCUUAGAAUUCCAAAACUAAGAAUAAAUUUGAGCUAGUGCUCAGGUUGAUGAUAAACUUGUAAGCUAUUCAUAAUUUCAUACCAUUCAGUAUUAAUGAUAUCAACAACGCCUAUUGGGAGAAUGGUAGCCAUGGAGAGGCUUCUAACAUCUGGAAAUUUCUCGGAGCUAUCUGCAGAGGAGGCCAGACUUGAAAAACUAGCUGCUAAGACCAUACAUAAGGAGAUGAACGAGGCAGACGAGGCUAAUUUGUUGGAGGAAGAGGUUGUAUAUAAAUGUUUAUGAGUUGCUUUCUUCAUUACAAUUUGAAGUCAGUGUUUCUACUUAUAAGAUAUGCAUGUCUUUGACUGCAAACCAAUGACCGAUCCUUUGCAUUUGGUGUGUUGCAAUGCAUGUAAAAAACCAAUCAAAUCCAGCCAAUAUGCAGCACAUGCAGAACGCUGUAAGUCUCUAAAUUCUGCAGAAGAUACGGGUCUAGAGCUUGAUGGUGGUGCUGGGCACAAGAAACCUCCACGGAAAGGCCGAAAAAAGAUCCAAACAGCUCAUGAUAAUCCCGCGACAGCGAAUGGGGAGCAGGAAAGAUCCGAGUCCUUGGAUGGAGAUGAUACUGCUGCUUCAGAAUCUGCAAAUAUGGAUGACCACACUGGCAUGGCUUCUUCACUUUCAAGAGAAGUAAAAAGUAAUUCCAGAAACCAGUGCUCAGGAAUUUCAAGUUCAAUGGAUGGGCCGUUAGUAAUUGAUGGUUCUGGAGUUAGUCCUGGAAGUGGGAUUAACUCUGGGGGUGUGAUGUCUCCUUCAAAACGCGCUAAGUUGAUGCCAGCUGAGUGCAUGACCACAUCAGAUGGUCAGGAAACAAGGUGUGGUGUGGUAACAGAAACAGGAACUUGCUGUCAAGGUUCACUCACAUGUAGGGUGCACUCAGAGCCUUCAAAGCGGUCUGUUGCAGGAAGGCAGCAGCCAUACGACGUUAUGACGGGACGUCAGAAGCCUUUACCUCUUCAUGUUCAUGACUCGGCAGCGAAAGAUGAUAUUUGCGCUUCCGAGAUUCCAGUUCCCCUUGCAACCAAAAUGUAUCCCCGACAAAGAAGUUAUCGACUAAGGGCAGCACUUGGCCAUCUUUACCGUGAGGCAUUGGCGAAAGAGCAGCAGCACAAUGACCCUCAGAGCCCGAAACAACCCCUAGAAAAUUCUAUGAUAUCUUCACAGGUAUUGUCACCCAACAAUAUGUCUCAUGAGGCACGGAAGGAAGCCAUAAAUCAAAUGAAGAAUGAUCUAUGUGCAUUCCCUGUCACGAGGAAACCCGACCAACUACUGGCACAAAGUUCAGAACUAUGCUUGGGGCUAUCAGGAGGAUAUUCUUCAGUUAUGGGCGCGUUCCCUGGUCAGCUCCAAGAUAAUAAUAAUGAUUUUGCUCGUCCUGCAAUGUCUGUAGAUGCCAACCCCAUGGGAAUUAUGAGAACACGAUACAUUUCAACCCCUUACUCUUUUCCUGGCAACUCAGGUAUCAAAUUUCUCUCUCCAUGUAUUAUCUCUAAAAGAAGAUCCAUGUAUUUAUUGCCAGGUCAUAAUUAUAUUCACAUCUUGGGCAUCUUUAAAUGUGCAGCAUAUCCCUUGUCGUCUGUCGCCUCAUGGGUAAAUUCCUUUAUUAUGUUGCCAUGGUUGAAUGGACCGAAAAAAAAAAUCAAUGUGUUUUUCUCUGGAAAUCUUCAAUGUUCAUUUCUUAUUGAUUGAUAUCUACUAUUAUCAUGGAUAAGUAAAUACGAAAAUGGUUUUAGGGUCUAUUAUUGGCUCAUUAUGGACCAAUUAGUCACUGAGUAGUGACUGAUUCUUGAUAUUUAUGCGCAGAAACCAGUUUCAUCCUUUUAUAACAUUCAGAUUGUUUUUUGAUAUCUAAUUAAAGGGAGAACGUUCUACAUUGCCUUGUGACAUUAUCAAAGUUAUAAAACUAUCAGUUUAAUAAUCAUUCAUCUUGAAUUUAUAUUAGAGCAAAAGCUAUGACGAAUGGAUUUCAUAUGUUACAAAAAGAAAAAUUGAAAAAUGUUAUUCAAGAUACGCUUUUGAAUCGAUAUCUGAAUAUUUGCAGGUGCAGCAAUCACAAAUAUGCAGCAGCCAAAUGGGAUUGUUCCUGUGAUAUAAUUUCCAACUCAAUGGAGAGAUGUAUACGUGUGCCAAAGGUGUACAAAGAAUUGCAUGCUGAUCUAGUUGGAAAGUAAUUGGGCGCUGUCCCUCUCAAUCGAGAGCAGAUUGGAGUUCUACAUGUAAUGUGCAAUACGAACCCUACUAGCCAACAGAGCAGACAGUUCAGGCUUGUCUUUUGUUUUUUUCAGGCUUGAUUGUUAUACCGGUUCCUCUCAAUUUCGAAUUUGUCCAAGGGUUUCAUCAAAUACCAAAUACAUAAAAUGCCGACAUUUGUUAAUAAUGGAAGUUUCUUUAGUUUUGUUGAACUUAUAAAA